rnacentral:tmRNA from 1 species
GCUCUUUCAAUCCGCGCGCGAAGGGCUUAUAUCAAUAUUGUUGGGAAACCGACUAUGACGUUACAGGGCCUUAUGGAAUAAGCGUUGCGGACCCGGGGGCGGUACCCGGCGCCUCCACCAAAUUUUUCGUUGGCGACUUUAUCUAACGAUUAUUGGGGGCGAAAUAGGAUCGACGCGCGUGGUAAAGAUUUGGUUUGCGUCCGGUAUGGUACCGUCGUUAUCGGGCCAAAUUCGCUAAUUGCGAACGAUAACUUUGCGGGCGAAGCCCGUCUCGCUGCGUAGCCUAGGCUAAGUAAGCGCGGUUCGGGGGGUGCCGGGCAACAGAAACCCCCCACU